GAUCAUGGCUCAGAUUGAACGCUGGCGGCAGGCUUAACACAUGCAAGUCGAGCGGUAACAGAGAUAGCUUGCUAUCUGCUGACGAGCGGCGGACGGGUGAGUAAUGCUUGGGAAUAUGCCUUUAGGUGGGGGACAACAGUUGGAAACGACUGCUAAUACCGCAUAAUGUCUACGGACCAAAGUGGGGGACCUUCGGGCCUCACGCCUUUAGAUUAGCCCAAGUGAGAUUAGCUAGUUGGUACGGUAAUGGCGUACCAAGGCGACGAUCUCUAGCUGGUUUGAGAGGAUGAUCAGCCACACUGGGACUGAGACACGGCCCAGACUCCUACGGGAGGCAGCAGUGGGGAAUAUUGCACAAU
rnacentral:rRNA from 1 species